AUAUCAAAAGCGGAGGAAAAGAAACCAACCGGGAUUGCCUUAGUAACGGCGAGUGAAGCGGCAAAAGCUCAAAUUUGAAAUCUGGCGUCUUCGACGUCCGAGUUGUAAUUUGAAGAAGGCGACUUUGUAGCUGGUCCUUGUCUAUGUUCCUUGGAACAGGACGUCAUAGAGGGUGAGAAUCCCGUGUGGCGAGGAUCCCAGUUAUUUGUAAAGUGCUUUCGACGAGUCGAGUUGUUUGGGAAUGCAGCUCUAAGUGGGUGGUAAAUUCCAUCUAAAGCUAAAUAUUGGCGAGAGACCGAUAGCGAACAAGUACAGUGAUGGAAAGAUGAAAAGAACUUUGAAAAGAGAGUGAAAAAGUACGUGAAAUUGUUGAAAGGGAAGGGCAUUUGAUCAGACAUGGCGUUUGCUUCGGCUUUCGCUGGGCCAGCAUCAGUUUUAGCGGUUGGAUAAAUCCUCGGGAAUGUGGCUCUGCUUCGGUAGAGUGUUAUAGCCCGUGGGAAUACAGCCAGCUGGGACUGAGGAUUGCGACUUUUGUCAAGGAUGCUGGCGUAAUGGUUAAAUGCCGCCCGUCUUGAAACACGGA
rnacentral:rRNA from 1 species